rnacentral:lncRNA from 1 species
ACUAUCCGCAAAUUAAUGGUAUCUUUAUUCAAAUGAGAAGCGGUGCUUAUGUUAUGAAAAGCACUAUUAUAAGAUGUAUAAUUUGAAAAUGUAGCUUGAAUCUUUAUUAAUAAUGCUCAUAACAGGGUCAUCAAAUGGCAAUAUGAAACUUUACCCCCCAUCUUAGAGAUGGUGUAACUGAGAUAUACACUUAUUAGGGCAGAGGCAACAGGACUCCGAACUGUAUCUGCAUAUGUACCAAAUUGUGCAGCACCUACCUGAAGUAAUUGUGUCCCUUAAUUAUGUUUUAUCAUCAGCAAAUUCUUAACUUUUCAGAAUGUUCUUACUAUGUUUCCUGGUCUUCAUGGCACAUUCUACAGGAAUGUUUUCUGCAAUGAUCCUGCGUACAGGCAGCAAGCUUAAAGCAAACGGCUGAGCUCUUUCCCGAAGCUAUAGAAGAUAUUGCAGGAGUAUGCCCUGCUUGCUCUCAGGCAGGAAGCAUCCACUGAGAUUCUUAAGACAGUGCGCAUUACCCACCAGAGGGAGCUGAAGCCAAGAACUGUCAGAUUUUGCUUUGGCUUCCAAUUAUCAGAGGAUUCCCUACUGAAAGUCAUCUCCUCCACUUCACAGUGCUUUAGAUUCAGGCCUCUGUCUUCAGGUUUAAAAAUGGUUGAAAAAUUAACCGAAUUUGUACCUCUUGGCAAUUACUGAUUAUUUCAGUAGAUUUAUUUUUGGAGUCAUGAUGGAAAACAGGUAAACUCCUGAAUAUGGUUGUGCUUUGUUAUUAUGUGUAUGGCACACUAUAAUCAUUGGUUCAAA